rnacentral:rRNA from 1 species
CCUACGGGAGGCAGCAGUGGGGAAUUUUGGACAAUGGGCGCAAGCCUGAUCCAGCAAUGCCGCGUGAGUGAAGAAGGCCUUCGGGUUGUAAAGCUCUUUUGUCAGGGAAGAAACGGUGAAGGCUAAUAUCUUUUGCUAAUGACGGUACCUGAAGAAUAAGCACCGGCUAACUACGUGCCAGCAGCCGCGGUAAUACGUAGGGUGCAAGCGUUAAUCGGAAUUACUGGGCGUAAAGCGUGCGCAGGCGGUUUUGUAAGUUUGUCGUGAAAUCCCCGGGCUCAACCUGGGAAUGGCGAUGAAGACUGCAAGGCUAGAGUUUGGCAGAGGGGGGUAGAAUUCCACGUGUAGCAGUGAAAUGCGUAGAUAUGUGGAGGAACACCGAUGGCGAAGGCAGCCCCCUGGGUCAAACUGACGCUCAUGCACGAAAGCGUGGGGAGCAAACAGGAUUAGAUACCCUGGUAGUCCACGCCCUAAACGAUGUCUACUAGUUGUCGGGUCUUAAUUGACUUGGUAACGCAGCUAACGCGUGAAGUAGACCGCCUGGGGAGUACGGGUCGCAAGAUUAAAACUUCAAAUUGAAUUGACGG